UCCCUGAUGGUCCAGUGGUUAAGGCACUGCACUUCCAAUGCAGAGGGUGUGGGUUCAACCUCUGAUCAGGGAA
rnacentral:tRNA from 1 species